rnacentral:rRNA from 1 species
GACGAACGCUGGCGGCGUGCUUAACACAUGCAAGUCGAACGGAAAGGCCCUGCUUUUGUGGGGUGCUCGAGUGGCGAACGGGUGAGUAACACGUGAGUAACCUGCCCUUGACUUUGGGAUAACUUCAGGAAACUGGGGCUAAUACCGGAUAGGAGCUCCUGCUGCAUGGUGGGGGUUGGAAAGUUUCGGCGGUUGGGGAUGGACUCGCGGCUUAUCAGCUUGUUGGUGGGGUAGUGGCUUACCAAGGCUUUGACGGGUAGCCGGCCUGAGAGGGUGACCGGCGACAUUGGGACUGAGAUACGGCGCAGACUCCUACGGGAGGCAGCAGGGGGGAAUAUUGCACAAUGGGCGGAAGCCUGAUGCAGCAACGCCGCGUGCGGGAUGACGGCCUUCGGGUUGUAAACCGCUUUCGCCUGUGACGAAGCGUGAGUGACGGUAAUGGGUAAAGAAGCACCGGCUAACUACGUG